UACGGAGGGAGCUAGCGUUAUUCGGAAUUACUGGGCGUAAAGCGUGCGUAGGCGGUUUGUUAAGUCCGUUGUGAAAGCCCUGGGCUCAACCUGGGAAUUGCAGUGGAUACUGGCGAGCUAGAGUGCGGUAGAGGAUGGUGGAAUUCCCGGUGUAGCGGUGAAAUGCGUAGAGAUCGGGAGGAACACCCGUGGCGAAGGCGGUUCUCUGGGCCUGUACUGACGCUGAGGAGCGAAAGCGUGGGGAGCGAACAGG
rnacentral:rRNA from 1 species